rnacentral:rRNA from 1 species
CCUAAGUUGACCGGCCAGUUGACGCUGCGCAUCUUACCAUCAAUCGUUGAAUGAUGAAAAUUUACAAUUUUUAUCAAAAGUGCGGCGGUGAGUACGCGUAAGACCUCCUCAUGGAGGCGAUACAACCGAAAUGUUCUAUACCCAAGGUGAGAGCUAACGGUAAAUCCGCAAGAGAGGGCUUGUUCUUUUAGCAGUUGGGGGGUAAUGGCUUCCCAUGCCACGAUCAGUAGUGGUUCAGAGGAUAUCAGCCACACUGGGACUGAGAAACGGCCCAGACUCCUACGGAGGCAGCAGUGAGGAAUUUUCCGCAAUGGGUAAAGCCUGCGGAGCAAGCCGCGGGAGGAAGACGGUCCGUGGAUUGUAAACUCCUUUUCUCAGAGAAGAAGAUCUGACGGUAUCUGAGGAAUAAGCAACGGCUAACUCUGUGCCAGCAGCCGCGGUAAGACAGAGGUUACAAGCGUUAUCCGGAACGAUUGGGCGUAAAGCGUCUGUAGGUGGUUUCUGAAGUCUACUGUCAAAUACCAGGGCUUAACUUUGGACAGGCAGUGGAGUACUCAGAGGCUAGAGUUCGGUAGAGGCAGAGGGAAUUCCCGGUGGAGCGGUGAAAUGCAUAGAGAUCGGGAAGAACACCAGUGGCGAAAGCGCUCUGCUGGGCCGAACUGACACUGAGAGACGAAAGCUAAGGGAGCGAAUAGGAUUAGAUACCCUAGUAGUCUUAGCUGUCAACGAUGGAAACUAAGUGCUGUCUAAUCUUCUUUUUAAGGAGUUGAAACAGUGCUGAAGCUAACGCGUUAAGUUUCCCGCCUGGGGAGUAUGCUCGCAAGAGUGAAACUCAAAUGAAUUGACGGGG